UUGACAUUCAACAAGUGUGUCAUACUGACA
rnacentral:sRNA from 1 species